rnacentral:rRNA from 1 species
GAUGAACGCUAGCGGCAGGCCUAAUACAUGCAAGUCGGACGGGAUUCCGGAGCUUGCUUCUGAUGAGAGUGGCGCACGGGUGCGUAACACGUAUGUAACCUACCUUUAUCAGGGGGAUAGCCUCUCGAAAGAGAGAUUAAGCCCGCAUAAAAUCACAGCACAGCCUUGUGUAAUGAUCAAAUAUUUAUAGGAUAAAGAUGGGCAUGCGGGACAUUAGCUAGAUGGCGGGGUAACGGCCCACCAUGGCGACGAUGGUUAGGGGAUCUGAGAGGAUGGCCCCCCAAACGGGGACCGGGACACGGACCAGACUCCUACGGGAGGCAGCAGUAAGGAAGACUGGUCAAUGGGCGGAAGCCUGAACCAGCCAUGCCGCGUGCAGGAAGGCGGCGCUACGGGUUGUAAACUGCUUUUAGACGGGAAUAAACCCAGAUACGUGUAUCUGGCUGAAGGUACUGUAAGAAUAAGGAUCGGCUAACUCCGUG